CAGAUCCAUUUUUCGUGAUCUUCCUUGUCGGUUGCCAAACGUGAAGAUGACCAGAGGAGAACUUUUGUGGCUCAUCAAAGGUUUGAUAAACGAAGAGAAUUUGAACAAAGGUCUGACCUUGGCCCUUGGCCCUUGGCCCUUGCUCCUUGCUCCUUGGACCCUUGUAUGAGGCCGGCAUCACUGCAAAACCACCCACAUAUGUAGUUUUAGGUCAUACCCAUCAUUUUGACGGUAAAGACAUAGCAUGUGUUCAGUAUGGUGAGCUCCAGGAGACGAGCAUUUCAGAGUUGCGCCAUAAUUAGUAAACAAAUCGGUAUUCUAGUCAUUUUGUUGAGUAUUAAUUUCUGAUUUGUCGUAAUGGCAGAAUCCGAUUGGUAACACAUAUGAAGCUUCGUCUUAGGUGAUAAUUCUAGUGACCCUAGAGUAGUGGGAGCCUUGGAGAUCAUACUCUGUGAUCUAUCAGAGAAAAACCCUAAUUUGAUGGAUUCGACUAACAGUUUGAAGAUAUGACUAACAGUUCGUCUUCCAAAAAGCACGGUCAAGAUCAACCAGAGAUGAGUGGGCGCACACCCAAAUCCCAGCGACAAUGAAAAGAGGAUUUUGAUCGAGAAUCAAGGAUACUGACAUAAGCGUUCCAAUUGGACGUGGUAUGAUGCUAACGUCUUAUUCUGGCUUUGUAAAAAGGCAAGAGAGUAAGUACUGUUUAGACGUUGUUUCGUAGCUUUGUGGCUCCUAGAAUAGCUUGUUUUACCAGACACAAAUGGACUGCGUGUGUUCGUGGGAGGAGUGGUGAUAAAAGAAGCUUCUUUUCACAGUUUCAAUACCCCCACAAGGGAUGUGGAGUCGCUGCCAUUUGAGUAAUCAGAAGCUGGGUGGGGUGAAUUUGAAAUGGCCUCUUUAUUUUCGCAGCGAUGUUUGUGAUGAGUCAUUGAACUUGAAAUGAAAGCACGUGGUGUGGAUGAUUUUAAUUCAUGCGAAUUCUGAAUCCUCUUUUCCACCCAAGAGUGUCAUGUAUACUGAGGUGAGUCAGUGCAAAAGAAAUAAAUGCAUUCCAUACUAUUAAGUGGAAAACUAUAAAACAUAAUCUGGAUUAUGCUGCAUCACUUAUUCUGCUGGAUCUUCAGGAGCAUGCUCAUGCUCAGAUUAGGUGAAUCUGAUUAUAGAAAAGAUUCUCUCCAAGAGCCACUCUAUAUGUGGUUUCUGCAGUUGUCAGAACAAGAAGUAUAUCAGGUUGUUCCAGAAGGUAUUGUUUUACAAUUUGUUGGGCUUAGGGAUGCUUGAAGGGAUUUAACCUGUAUCGUUUAAUAUUUAUGACUCAGGAAGACCAAUGUAACUAUUUAACUAGUUUGAAUGAAAUAUUUUUGUUUGUGUUAACAUAUGAUCCUUGAGGUUGUGAUCGAGAAGGAA